rnacentral:rRNA from 1 species
CCUACGGGUGGCAGCAGUGGGGAAUAUUGGACAAUGGGGGGAACCCUGAUCCAGCCAUGCCGCGUGUGUGAAGAAGGCCCUCGGGUUGUAAAGCACUUUCAGUGAGGAAGAACGCCUGGUGGUUAAUACCCAUCAGGAAAGACAUCACUCACAGAAGAAGCACCGGCUAACUCCGUGCCAGCAGCCGCGGUAAUACGGAGGGUGCGAGCGUUAAUCGGAAUUACUGGGCGUAAAGCGCGCGUAGGUGGCUUGAUAAGCCGGUUGUGAAAGCCCCGGGCUCAACCUGGGAACGGCAUCCGGAACUGUCAAGCUAGAGUGCAGGAGAGGAAGGUAGAAUUCCCGGUGUAGCGGUGAAAUGCGUAGAGAUCGGGAGGAAUACCAGUGGCGAAGGCGGCCUUCUGGACUGACACUGACGCUGAGGUGCGAAAGCGUGGGUAGCAAACAGGAUUAGAUACCCCAGUAGUC